rnacentral:rRNA from 1 species
UACGUAGGGGGCGAGCGUUGUCCGGAGUUACUGGGCGUAAAGGGCGCGCAGGCGGUCUGGCAAGUUUGGAGUGACAGUGCUCGGCUUAACUGAGCAAGGCCUUCGAAAACUGCUAGACUUGAGCACUCAAGAGGGACAUAGAAUUCCGGGUGGAGUGGUGAAAUGCGUAGAUAUCCGGAGGAAUACCAAAGGCGAAGGCAGUGUCCUGGGGAGUGUCUGACGCUCAGGUGCGAAAGCCAGGGGAGCGAACGGG